rnacentral:rRNA from 1 species
UUGAACGCUGGCGGCAUGCUUUACACAUGCAAGUCGAGCGGUAACAGGUUAAGCUGACGAGUGGCGAACGGGUGAGUAAUGCAUCGGAACGUGCCCGAUCGUGGGGGAUAACGCAGCGAAAGCUGCGCUAAUACCGCAUACGAUCUGAGGAUGAAAGCGGGGGACCGUAAGGCCUCGCGCGAUCGGAGCGGCCGAUGUCAGAUUAGGUAGUUGGUGGGGUAAAGGCUCACCAAGCCGACGAUCUGUAGCUGGUCUGAGAGGACGACCAGCCACACUGGGACUGAGACACGGCCCAGACUCCUACGGGAGGCAGCAGUGGGGAAUUUUGGACAAUGGGCGCAAGCCUGAUCCAGCCAUGCCGCGUGAGUGAAGAAGGCCUUCGGGUUGUAAAGCUCUUUCGGCGGGGAAGAAAUCGCACUUUCUAAUACAGAGUGUGGAUGACGGUACCCGAAUAAGAAGCACCGGCUAACUACGU